AGCCUACAAGUCCUUUACUGACGCUAAAGCUCGAAGGUGCGGGUAUCGAACAGGAUUAGAUACCCUGGUAGUCCGCACGGUAAACGAUGGAUGCCCGCUGUUUGCGAUAUAGUGUGAGCGGCCAAGCGAAAGCGUUAAGCAUCCCACCUGGGGAGUACGCCGGCAACGGUGAAACUCAAAGGAAUUGACGGGGGCCCGCACAAGCGGAGGAACAUGUGGUUUAAUUCGAUGAUACGCGAGGAACCUUACCCGGGCUUGAACUGCAGCAGAACGAUUGAGAGAUCAUGAGGUCCUUCGGGACUGCUGUGGAGGUGCUGCAUGGUUGUCGUCAGCUCGUGCCGUGAGGUGUCGGCUUAAGUGCCAUAACGAGCGCAACCCCUCUCUUCAGUUGCCAUCAGGUAGGGCUGGGCACUCUGGAGACACUGCCACCGUAAGGUGUGAGGAAGGUGGGGAUGACGUCAAAUCAGCACGGCCCUUACGUCCGGGGCUACACACGUGUUACAAUGGGUGGUACAGAGCGUCGGCGGCCUGCAAAGUCCGUCCAAUCGCAAAAUCCAUCCUCAGUUCGGACUGGGGUCUGCAACCCGACCCCACGAAGCUG
rnacentral:rRNA from 1 species